CCUACGGGUGGCAGCAGUGAGGAAUAUUGGUCAAUGGACGGAAGUCUGAACCAGCCAUGCCGCGUGCAGGAAGACGGCUCUAUGAGUUGUAAACUGCUUUUGUACAAGGGUAAACCUGAAUACGUGUAUUCAGCUGAAAGUACUGUACGAAUAAGGAUCGGCUAACUCCGUGCCAGCAGCCGCGGUAAUACGGAGGGUGCAAGCGUUGUCCGGAAUCAUUGGGCGUAAAGAGUUCGUAGGUGGCAUAUUAAGUCUGGUGUUAAAUGCAGAAGCUCAACUGCGGUUCGGCACUGGAUACUGGUAAGCUUGAAUGCGGAAGAGGUAAAGGGAAUGACUGGUGUAGCGGUGAAAUGCGUAGAUAUCAGGAGGAACACCAGUGGCGAAGGCGUCUUACUGGACCGAAACUGACGUUGAGGCUCGAAAGCGUGGGGAGCAAACAGGAUUAGAUACCCGUGUAGUC
rnacentral:rRNA from 1 species